rnacentral:misc_RNA from 1 species
GAUGAAGAACGCAGCGAAAUGCGAUAAGUAAUGUGAAUUGCAGAAUUUAGUGAAUCAUCGAAUCUUUGAACGCACAUUGCGCCCCUUGGUAUUCCGAGGGGCAUGCCUGUUCGAGCGUCAUUUCAACCAUCAAGCCCCAGGCUUGUGUUGGGGACCUGCGGCUGCCGCAGGCCCUGAAAACCAGUGGCGGGCUCGCUAGUCACACCGAGCGUAGUAGCAUACACAUCGCUCAGGGCGUGCUGCGGGUUCCGGCCGUUAAACCCCUUUUUUACCCAAGGUUGACCUCGGAUCAGGUAGGAAGACCCGCUGAACUUAAGCAUAUCAAUAAGCGGAGGA